rnacentral:rRNA from 1 species
GACGAACGCUGGCGGCGUGCUUAACACAUGCAAGUCGAACGGAAAGGCCCUGCUUUUGUGGGGUGCUCGAGUGGCGAACGGGUGAGUAACACGUGAGUAACCUGCCCUUGACUUUGGGAUAACUUCAGGAAACUGGGGCUAAUACCGGAUAGGAGCUCCUGCUGCAUGGUGGGGGUUGGAAAGUUUCGGCGGUUGGGGAUGGACUCGCGGCUUAUCAGCUUGUUGGUGGGGUAGUGGCUUACCAAGGCUUUGACGGGUAGCCGGCCUGAGCGGGUGACCGGCCACGUUGGGACUGAGAUGCGGCCCAGACUCCUACGGGAGGCAGCAGUGGGGAAUAUUGCACAAUGGGCGGAAGCCUGAUGCAGCAACGCCGCGUGCGGGAUGACGGCCUUCGGGUUGUAAACCGCUUUCGCCUGUGACGAAGCGUGAGUGACGGUAAUGGGUAAAGAAGCACCGGCUAACUACGUG